rnacentral:rRNA from 1 species
UAUUGGACAAUGGGCGAAGGCCUGAUCCAGCCAUGCCGCGUGAGUGAUGAAGGCCCUAGGGUUGUAAAGCUCUUUUGUGCGGGAAGAUAAUGACGGUACCGCAAGAAUAAGCCCCGGCUAACUUCGUGCCAGCAGCCGCGGUAAUACGAAGGGGGCUAGCGUUGCUCGGAAUCACUGGGCGUAAAGGGUGCGUAGGCGGGUUUCUAAGUCAGAGGGGAAAGCCUGGAGCUCAACUCCAGAACUGCCUUGGAUACUGGAAGUCUUGAGUUCGGGAGAGGUGAGUGGAACUGCGAGUGUAGAGGUGAAAUUCGUAGAUAUUCGCAAGAACACCAGUGGCGAAGGCGGCUCACUGGCCCGAUACUGACGCUGAGGCACGAAAGCGUGGGGAGCAAACA